AUGAGUGUCUGCGAGGCCGCACCUCAAGGCUCUAACCGGGAGUGUGUCUCCUGUCCCACGCAGAAGGACGGCCUCGGACUUCCCGUGCCUGCCCGAAGAACCCCCUCCUGGGGCGCCUCCCCCGAGGAGGAUUCUGGUUGCCUUUCCUUUCCUCCGGAACAGCCUGGCCUCAGACCCCGGGUCCCAGGAAACCUUGCCUCUGCAGUUUCCCCACGAGAGGAAGAGGAGGAAAGGGAUGAGAACGAUGCAGACUCUGUCGCUGAGGGGCUGCGCAGCGAGGAGCACCCGAGUCAGUUCUUCGCCGAAGCGCAGCGGCUAUGGGAGCAGGGGCUGCUACUGGACGAAGAGGUGUCAGUCGCGGGGCGGGUUUACGGGGUGCAUCGGGUCAUCUUGGCGGCAGUCAGCAGCCUCUUCCGAGGCAGGCUGCUGGCCGGCGGGGGCUCGCGGGGCGGACUCCGCCUGGAUGUGGCCCCGGGAGGGUGGGAGGCCGUGCUGACCUUCGCCUACCAGGGGGUGCUGGGCCCCGCCGCGCGGGGGGAUGUGCUGGCUGCGGCCGAGGCCCUGGGCGCGCCCCGGGUGGAGGCCGCAGCCCGGCGGAGACGUGAGGGUCCCGGAAACACCGCGGAGGAGGAAGCGGCGCCCAGCCCAGCGGAGGAGCUGCGGGAAAACCUGCGCGGCAUCGAGCGCCUCUACCGAGAGGGCGUCGGCUGUGAUCUGGAGCUGGAGGCAGACGGCUUUCGGCUGCGGGUGCAUCGAGCAGCCCUGGCCUGCGGCAGUGAGUUCUUUGGGGCCAUGCUCCUGAGUGGCAUGAGGGAAUCCCAAGGAACAGAGGUAUCUCUGCGCACUAUGUCUUCCCAUGACCUGCGACUCCUCGUCUCUUUUGCUUACUCUGGAGUAGUGUGGGCAAGGUGGCCAGGACUUCUGAGAGCUGCCCAGGCUGCUCUGCAAUACCAAAGUUCUUCCUGCCUGAAUCUAUGUCAGAAGGCCUUGGUGCAAGGCCUCAGCCCUGCCCGUUGCCUGGCCUUAUUCCCCAUGGCUGAAACCCCCGGGUUGGAGAGGCUCUGGAGUAACGCUCGUCACUACCUCCUCAGCCAUCUGCCUGCGGUGGCUUUGUGCCCUGCUUUCCCUUCCUUCCCAGCUGCCUGCCUGGCAGAGCUCCUGGAUAGCGAUGAGCUUCAUGUGCAGGAGGAGUUUGAGGCCUUUGCAGCUGCACGGCGUUGGCUGGCUGCCAACCCUGAGACACAGGAGUCUGAAGCCAAGGCCCUGCUGCGAUGUGUCCGCUUUGGCCGUAUGUCUACCAGAGAGCUGAGAAAAGUGCGGGCAGCUGGGCUUCCCUCAUUCCUGCCCCCAGACAUGCUGCACCACUUGAUGGUGGAGGCUGAGGUUCCAGGUCAAGAGAGGUGGAGAAAGCCUGACCAGGCACUGGUGGUGAUUGGUGGGGACGAGCUCAGACCUGACAUGGCCCGAAGACAGCCUUCUCAAAAAGUGUGGUGGGCCAGGGCCUUCCACUGCGGCAUGGGACUGGUACGAACUGUGGAGUGGGGAAUGCUGCCUGCCCUGCCUGCCCCAGGGCGCUUCCGGCAUGGGGCUGCAAGCCUGGCAGGAAGUGAACUCUAUGUGUGUGGGGGACAGGACUUCUACAGCCAGUCCAACACUCUGGCUUCAACUCUCAGGUGGGACCCCAGUCAAGAAGACUGGGAAGAGAUGGCACCUUUGUGCCAGGCUCGGAGUUUGUUCCCUCUGGUGGCAUUGGAUGGACAGCUUUAUGCCCUUGGUGGACUAUAUAAUGGUGUUGCCCUUAACUCUGUGGAGACCUACAAUCCUGAGCUCAACAUCUGGAGGUCAGCACCUCCACUUCCGGCCCCAUGCUUUGCCCAUGCAGCUGCCAUCUUGGAAGGCCGAUUGUACCUGAGUGGUGGCCACAAUGGAGCUGGCCAGUAUCUGACCUCAUUACUGCAUUAUGACCCCAAACUUGAGAAGCCAGGAACACUUUUAAGUCCAAUGGGGAUACCUCGGGCUGGCCAUAUCAUGGCUGCUCUGGGCAGGCGGUUGUAUGUAGCAGGUGGGCUAGGUGAGAUGGGGGACCUGUUAAGCUUUGAGGCCUAUGAACCAAGGACUGAUAGCUGGACUCAGUUAGUACCCCUGCCAUCCCCCCACGUAUGCGCUGCAGGUGCUGUGCUGCAGGGGGAGUUACUGGUGUUGGGGGGCUACAGCCACCGCACAUACGCCCUCUCCCACCUUAUCCACGCCUACUCUCCUGGCCUGGGCCGAUGGUUGUGCCUGGGAACUUUACCAAGGCCUCGGGCUGAGAUGCCUGCCUGCAUCCUGACACUGCCUACGGUGCAGCACACAGCUUUGGCACCCGCUCUGCAGCAAACCAAACCCGCUGGGUGAUGGGAGUAGCGGUGCAUGGGAUAGGAAGGGAUAUGACAUAUCAUGAAAAAUAGACAGGGAUUAUGAAAGAAUGAUUACUAUUUGCAAUAUUUUUACAUAGUGCUAGACAGCUCAUAAACUGCUUUUUAAAGGUAUGCUAUCCAUGGAGGGAAAGUGAUUCCAGAACUCCUGGGGGAAGACCUUUGGGGAAAGAGAGGCAGCUAAAUAUUUGGGAUUCUUUGUUUGCUUGUUUGUUUGGGUUUUUGAGACAGUCUUAUGUAGUUCAGGCUGGUCUUGAACUCUGUAGCCCAAGCUGACUUCCACCUCACUGCCUCUUGUUUCAGCCUCCAAAAUGCUGAGAUCACAGGUGAGGGCCACGAUGCUCAGUGGGCAGAUGAAUAGUAGGGUUAAUAGAAGAGGCUGAGGCAGGAGGAUCACCUAGAGUCCGAGACACACACACACACACACACACACACACACACACACACACACACACAGAAGCUUUAGUAGGUCCUGAAAGCUUAGGGGUCCUGAGAGGACAGUUGGAAAAUUAUUCUAAUCCAUGGAUCAAAGAGAAAAAUACAAGCCAGAAGUAUUCUGAUCCAUGGUGGCACAUGCUUAAAAUCUCAGCCACUCCAGAGGCUGAGAUAGAAUCACAAAUUUGAGACUAUUUUGUGCAAUUUAGUGAGACCUUGUCUUGAAAUAAAAUGAAAAGAGACUGAGGUUGUAACUCAGUGGUAGAGCUCUUUCCUCUAAUAUUCAAGGCCUGGGGUUCUUCAAACCUGAAAGAGAGAGAGAGACAGAGAGAGAGAUAGAGAGAGAGAGAGUGAGAGAGGAGGGAGAGAGAAAAGGAAAGAAAGAGAGAAUUGUGGGAAGGCCAUCCAUGAGUUUGAGGAAUGAGGGAGGAAUUGUUCAGCAAUUUCUUUCCUCGCGUGUCUUCCUUUUUGCUCUCCCAUCCCUGCCGUAACUAACCCCUCUUGGCAGUGUUUUUGCACAGGUAAUUUUGCUAGUACCGCCUAGCAUUUCUCAGCCCAGACCCCAUAGGCUGCCCCUGACAGCAUUUUGCUUUCCAUCUGAGGCAGAAGUUCCCAUCACAGCAAAGGGAACUCAGAUGCAUAACUGGCUUUCAGGAAAUUAAGGGGGAACACUGUAUGAGGGAUGAGCAGGGCAGAGGCCAUGGAGGGAGGCGCCCAAGGUGGAAGAAGAAUGAGCAGAGUCUGGCAGGGGUGGAAGAAAGCAGAUACCCGGCUUUCCUUCCCUGUGGGUGAACUGGAUUGUGGAGAGCAGUCGUGGUGUGAGGUCCCAAGACACAAGAAGUGGCUAAGAGAAGAGCAAAAGGUGGACAAGGCUUGGACGAGCUGUUUUCCAUCAAUCCCUUUUCUGUUUUGUUUUUAACGCUUUUUUGUUUUUCUUGUCCAGGGAAAGUUGGGUCUUUUUGUCCUUUUUUUUUUACCCCCAGGGAAGGUUGGGUCCUACAUUUCUCUCCCUCCUCCUCUAUUCUUUUCCUCCUUAUGAGUGUUUUAUUCCUCAUGAGUGUUUUUCACUUCUGUACUGCUUUCUUGCUUAGUAUGAGCCGGGCACUGUAUGAGGCACAAGGACACAUAGGUCUGAGAGCUCCUGUCAGAAAACAGCUUCAUGAACGCCUCCAAGUGUUGUGGUGAACUUAAAGCAUGAGAUUCCUAUGAAAACCGAGAGGAUGAAGGAAUGGACUCUACCAGUACAGCUUCCAUCAGAGAAGGCACCCCAAGUAGAAGUCGUUUGAACUGAAACCUUCAAGGCUGCCUGGAAGUACACCUGCACCAGGUUAGGGAAGGUUGCAGCUCAGUGGUAGAGUGCUUGUCUAGCAUUUGUAAGGUUCUGGGCUUGAUCUUCAGCAUACACACACACACACAUACCCCACCAGUUAAAGGAGGAAUGUUUCUUAGCUAGAAUGACUGGGGCAUGGUGCCCUAUUUCUUCACAGAAGGAGAAGCCAGCAUUCUAGAGAUUCUUGAGAGAAUUCUGCUGCUAUCACCAGCAUACAAAGUCUUCUCGGGAACCUUUUCCGAAGACAGUGGCUUUCUCUUAAACAUGUACACCUCACUCCAGGGUUCUGCUACAUCUUUCCUCUCUGAUUUUCCUUUUCUGCCCCCUCCCUGCCACCAUCCCAGGCAACAAAAGGCCAAGCAUUCUUUUUGUAAGCCAAUUUUCUUUUUUUGUUUUUGUUUUGUUUUUUGUUUCUUUGUCUUUUUCAGACACAUAACCCAGGGUGUCCUGGACUCACUAUGUAGCCUAGGUUGCCAUUGAACUUGCAGCAAUCCUCCUGUCUCAGCCUUCUAAGUGCUGGGAUUACAGUACCAGGGAUCCAAUUCACGACCACCUGCUUGCAAGGCGGAUACUUAUGCUGCUGAGCUAAAUCUCCAGUCCCCAAGCUGAAUUCUUUAAAAUAGCUUUUCAGUGAGACAGGCUGGUGAAGACCAUGAAGCCGCAGAAGCUCAGAGCCACUGGAAAGCUUUGAAGAUGGCAGAAUUGAGGAGCAAAUAUAUCCAGCUUCUAGCAGAUGUACAAGCCCAGCCAGGUGACCAUCCCCUGUACCAGGGUCAGGCUCAUGUUGGGGAAACUGUGAUGCACAUCCAUUCAUUUUUUGAGGAACAUGAUGCAGAUGGGCACCAGCAGGUUGAACAGGAGUCUGGUGGCAAUUCGUCUAUGGUCCAAACUCACUUGCUAGUGAUGCCCAGACCCCUCCAUGCCUCCACACUGGACCAUCCAGCCUUGGGGCUAGGGAGCAGGCAACCAGGGUCCUCAGAGUCUUUCCCACCUGCAUGUCCUAAGAAGCCAGUCUCAUCCCUCUGGCCAGAGCGAGGCAUGCGCCAGUAUCCUCACAGGGGAGAACGCAGCCACCACCUCUUCCACACGUACUCUCUGCCCGACAGCAGGUCUUUUUCCAUUUUGUGUCUGAGACAGGCUCUCACUGUGUAGCUCACCCUACCUUUGAGCUCUCUAUGUAGCCCAGGCUGGCCUUGAACUCACUGCACUCCUUUGGCCUUAGCCUCUCAAGUAUUGGCAGUGUAGGCGUACAACAUCACGGCCACCUGGUUUGCUGUGUUUUCAGACAAGGCCUUCCUGUAAAGCCCCAGCUGGGCUUCAGCCCAUGAUCUUGCCUUAGCCUCCUAAGUGCUGCAAAAACACAGUUUCAUAAUAAUCUACUUGUUGAUGCUCCUUUUUGUUCAGUGGAGUGGAUUAUAUUCAGAGCCUCACAAAUAAAUGCUCGGCAAGCUUGCUACCACUGAACUACAUCCCCAGCCCUGCAAGCCUUGCUGAGAGUAGGUGACAUAUCUGACACUAACAUUUAAGAAGCUGGGGAGAAACAUCACAGGGGAGGGAUAUAAAUAGCACAGUUUAAUUACUCUUUUAGGAUACUGAGUAUAUUCUAAAUCUUGGUAACCCUUAGGAAUCGUGGUGAAAAGAUAUAAAUUCGUUAUAGCUCCUGGUAAGAUCACUAACAAAUUACAUACAUAUACACAUACAUACAUACAUAUAAUUUGUGAUUAUAUUAUUUUCCUCUGAAAGAUAAGAUGCUCAUUCUUUUAUUAUUAUAGAUAAUUCAGAGUAUCAUAUUCUAUGCUUGGUAUUAGAAUAAUGGGAAGAAAUCCUCCCUGAAUUGCUGCUUCGGUAAUCAUGAGGAAGACCUGUGCUCAGCCUAAAUGCCGGUGCCUGGAUACAUCACAUUACUGAAUGUUCUUUGGCUUUCUACCAGCUUGACUGAUCACCAGCUCAUUUAGUCUGCACUUCAGUGUGUAGAUCCAGCUGUUACUACAGAGAAAAAAAACCAUUUGUUUUAGAUUCUACCUAACUGUGUUUACCUGCUUUCUAUGUGCAGGCAGGAUGCUAAGCACUUUAUAUCCAUUCUCUUAUUUAUGUAUUUUAAAAAGUAGGCAGCGCUUACUUAACAUCAGAAACAGCUGCCACAUGUGUGUAACCCAAACCCUUGGGAGGCUGAGUCAAGAGAAUUACCAGGAGUUCUCACCCAGGGUGGGCUAUGUAGGGAGUUCAAGGCCAACCUGAACCACGUAGGAAGGCCCUGUAUCAAAAAACCAAGAUGAACAAAAAGAAACAGUUGACCAAAUCAGUGUCACUCAAGAUCACAAAGAAACUAUUUGUCCUCUGAUUCAUCCUGAGCAUACCAUUAUACUCUCACUUUGCAGAUGAGAAACCUGAAGCUUAGAGAACUUAAACAAGUUAUCCGAAGUCUCAGUGUGGAAAUGUUAAACUGUUAAGAGGGUUUUAGAGAUCCUCUUUUUAAAAUGAGGAAUGUGUGUGUGUGUGUGUGUGUGUGUGUGUCUGACACUGGGCAUUAAUUCCAGGACUUUCUGUAUCUUAGGAAAGUGGCAUACCACUGAGUUACACCCCCAGCCAUCAUUGUAAUUUCAAAACAAGUUAGCAUAUCAUUAAGAGGUCCAGGCUUCCCUCAAGCUUUCAAUUCUCUGCCUCAACCUCUUGAACAGUUUGGAAUAAACAUCUGUGGUUCUGCCCCCACCUGUACUUAGCCUUCUCUGGCGUAGAUACAUAUUCACUGAGUGUCCAGCUCUAAUCAUGAAAUUCACACUUAGACUCUAUAGAUGGGGGUAAGGGAGGAGAGUAACAACCAGCACUGGAGGCUUAGAGACUUGGUUUAGAGCAAUCUACCAUCCAAAUGUGCACUGCAAACUAGCUGUGAGCGCCAAAACAGCUAAGAUGGAGCAAGGAUCUAUUCUUAUUUAUUUAUUUUUAUAUCUUUGGUUAUUUGAGACAGGGUUUUGUUUUGUAGUACAGAUUUGAACUCACUAUUCGAGGCUGGCCUCGAAUUCAUGGUGAUUCUCCUGCCUCAGCAUGGGAGUGCUAGGAUUACAGGUGUGCACCACCAUGCCAGGCUGGGACUUGUUUCAUUUACUAGAGUAUGUUGAGUUAGGCAUUAUUAUAAGAAUGUUACAACAGAUGAGAAUUCUCAAACAGAGGGUUGUAUCUGACCUCUUUGCCAUCAGCAUUAUCUGAAUUAAAAAGAAUCAAGAACCAGUCCUGAUCAUAUUCAAGAUUUACGAGAUUACUCUUCACUCUCUGUCUCUGUCUCACUCUGCCUUUCUUUCUCACUUUCCCCUAGGGAUUUUACAGAUGCUAACCAUGUACUUACCGCUAAGCUACACUCCCAGUCCUAACCUAAUUUCUUUUGCACCUUUGGUCACACUGUCAAUCAACAGCAGAGGAGGAUUUAAACACAAGAGCUUUGCACUCCAUGGUGUACAGUUCAACAAUCUUGUUUUAGUAUAUACUAUACUUUCCUACCCACAUCUCAGAUUAUUCCAAGAUGGUGGCCAAGAAUUCCAGAUCUCCCCUGAUUAUCCUGGUAAAGGAAAAAUUGUCUGAUGUCAUAAAUGUAAUUACUAGGGUGUGCACUGAGAAUAUACUUCAGGGGUAGAGUAUUUUCCUCAUAUCCGUGAAGCACUGAAAAAAUGGCUGGCCUCAAACUUUUAAUUCUCUGCCUCAGACCCCUGAAAAGUUUGGAUUUUGUCCCUUGAGCACAAAAAACUAAAACUAAAAAAAAUUUAAAAAAAGAGAAGCCACUAUACUUACAAAGGUCCAAAAAUGGAGAGUGAAAGAUACGUGAAGUUAAUCAGUUAACUUAUACAGAUAAAGCCCAGAAAAAGACUAUUUUGAAACCAGUUAAAAUUCUAUGGAGCCAGCGGCAGUUGUGGAUCAAGAGCAGAAACAAGAAGCCAAUCUGUGCCGUACUGUGAGCCAGUGGCAGCCACAUCCUCCUGUGAGCCAGCGACAGUCGUGGCUGGGAGAAGAACCAAGAAGCCAAGCUGUGCCCUCUUGAGAGGCAGCUGGCAUGUAGACCAGGAGACAAGAAGAGCCUAUCCCCUUCAAGCAGCCAGCUGAUUCAGAGAAACAUAGGAUGAGAUGAUAGCAACUGAAAUUAAUAAGAACUUAAAGCUUAUAUAGUUUGAUUUACUUUGCAAGCCUAAAGCUGGUAGUCUGAGCAUCUAUUUAGAGGAUAACAAUUGUUUGAUUGAUUUUGCAAGCCUAAAGCGGAGCAUCUAUUUAAAGGACAACAACAUGCAGUAUAGUAACUACUGUAGAUUUCCUACCGCCUUAUCGCUGUUUUGAUGUUUUAUUGCUCUGUUUUAUUCCCUUUAAAACUAAAUAAAACAUAUACAAA